UGGGGAAUCUUGCACAAUGGAGGAAACCCUGAUCCAGCAACGCCGCGUGAGUGAUGAAGGGCCUUACGGGUUGUAAAGCAUCUUUCUCGGGUGGGAAUAAAAUUCGCGAGUGUACACAUAUCGCACAAUAGGAUUGAGCGUAACUCUCAAUGAACAAACACACCCGCGCGUAACUUCUGAUGGCGUCCAACGCGCUUGCUAUACAAUAAUGUGGCGAGUCGUUAAUCGUGAAUUACUGGUAUGUAAAGCAUGAGUGAAAGCCCUGGUAUCACACCAUGUGAAGCCUUUUGAUUCUGCCUAGCUAGUAUGUUUGAUACUGUACGACUAUUCCUGGUGAAAUGGUAAAGUAAUUCCAUGUGUAGAGGAAAACUGCUGAGAAAUCCGGAUGAAUGUCCCUGCAUAAAGCCUCUACCUCGACUACCAGUGACGCUGACGCGAUUAAAUACGCUGAUCAUCCACGAUUAAAUCCAUUGAUAUCUGCGCUGUAGCAAUGACCACUUCACUGUCGUAACUUACAUCUUCUUAGUGUCGCCUGUAGAGCACUGUCGACCCAUUCUGACUAGUACGAA
rnacentral:rRNA from 1 species